AACGAACGCUGGCGGCGCGCUUAACACAUGCAAGUCGUACGAGAAGGCGUAGCAAUACGCUUGUACAGUGGCGAACGGGUGAGGAAUACGUGGGUGACCUACCCCAGAGAGGGGAAUAACCCGCCGAAAGGUGGGCUAAUGCCGCGUACGCUUCCACCUCUGCGGAGAUGGAAGGAAAGCCGUACCGAGGGUACGGCGCUCUAGGAUGGGCUCACGUCCUAUCAGCUUGUUGGUAGGGUAACGGCCUACCAAGGCAACGACGGGUAGCUGGUCUGAGAGGACGAUCAGCCACACUGGCACUGCGACACGGGCCAGACUCCUACGGGAGGCAGCAGUGAGGAAUAUUGCGCAAUGGGCGAAAGCCUGACGCAGCGACGCCGCGUGGGGGAUGAAGGUCUUCGGAUUGUAAACCCCUUUCGGGAGGGAAGAUGGGGCGGGCAACCGCCCGGACGGUACCUCCAGAAGCAGCCACGGCUAACUUCGUGCCAGCAGCCGCGGUAAUACGAAGGUGGC
rnacentral:rRNA from 1 species